UAAGGAAUAUUGGUCAAUGGACGCAAGUCUGAACCAGCCAUGCCGCGUGGAGGAUGAAGGUCCUCUGGAUUGUAAACUUCUUUUAUCUGGGACGAAACACUUCUUUUCUAAGAGGCCUGACGGUACCAGAUGAAUAAGCACCGGCUAACUCCGUGCCAGCAGCCGCGGUAAUACGGAGGGUGCAAGCGUUAUCCGGAUUCACUGGGUUUAAAGGGUGCGUAGGUGGGUAUGUAAGUCAGAGGUGAAAUCCCCGAGCUUAACUUGGGAACUGCCUUUGAUACUAUAUAUCUUGAGUUCGGGAGAGAGAGACGGAAUUCCAGGUGUAGUGGUGAAAUACGUAGAUAUCUGGAAGAACACCAGUUGCGAAGGCGGUCUCUUGGUCCGACACUGACGCUGAGGCGCGAAAGCGUGGGGAGCAAACA
rnacentral:rRNA from 1 species